AUGCUUCAUAUUUGGAAAAUUAAGGUACAUUUAAAAGUAAAGAUCUUCAUGUGGUUUGUACACAAGGAAGUGAUCUUAACUAAGAAUAGUUCGGCAAAGCAUAGUUGGGCUGGUAGUAAACGGUGUUACUCCUGUGAUUGGGAUGAAUCAAUACAACAUCUUUCUUUCACUAGCAGAGAAAUGGUUAGUCUGCGUUUGACAGCACAGUUUUUUGAGAAUAUUGUGGUUUCUGAAGAAAAAAACAUGGUUUUGAAUACUUUGAUGCGUUUGGCUUCAAAAAGAAAAACAAAGUUUUGUAAACCACAGUUGCCAGAAACCAUGGUCUUUUGUUGUAUCUGGAAAAGAGGUCCGACCUCUUUUUUUUUAAAACAGAGCGGAGAGAACUCGCGGGGAGAUCGCAGUUGA
rnacentral:rRNA from 1 species